UGAAGCUGAGCCUGGCACAGCACGAACUUCUUCUGCCAGCAGGACAUCCACAGUGUGCUGCCAGGAUUUAGAGCUAGUCACCUCUUGCAGAGCCCUCGAGGGGACAGCACUGGAGACCGUUCCUACCAGUGAUGUGACCAUACUUGGGAUGCUACGAAGACAUGCAUGUGCCAAAUGGGUACUGAAAUACCGGUGAUAUUGCUCAAUAUUUCACAGAAUCACAGAACAAUUAAGGCUAGGAGGGACCUCAGGAGGUGUCUUAUUCAGCCCCCUGCUCACAGAAAAAAGCAUCAGUUCAGGGAGAUGGUGAGGUCUCAGGCAACCAGAUAUCAGGAAAAAUCCCCUGUUUAGUGCUCAGAGGAGCCCCAAGACAUACUUCAGGAUUGAAGGCAAGACAGAGAGAGGUAUAUUUCAUAAUCUUUCAUAGAAACUGAUUUUACGUAAGUUCUUAUGCAAAUAUGAGGAUACUCAUAAUAAUAUUACUGUUUGGCAGAAAAUUAGUGAUGACACUGAUCAACCGCCAGGCUUUACUGGUUGUCUUGUUA
rnacentral:lncRNA from 1 species